ACUCCCAGCCGGAUGAGCAUCCCAUCUUUCUCCGCUAGAUUCCACGCUCAUCCCGUUCGUGAUCAUCAGCAUCCUUAUCCUCUUCCGCAUCUCUUGCUCCCAAUCUUCUUCACGGAUCUGCUGCCCAUCCGGGUAUCCCGUAGCCAGCCGGGAGGAGCAUCCACAAACUUCCCAGCAAAUUCCAUUAUCCACGAACGGCUUCACGUGUCUUCUCCUUUGAUCCGAACCACAGCAGUCCAGCGAAUCAGGCCAAGCUUCAUCCCAACGGUAAAGGUUUCAUCCUUAUCCAUGAUUCAAAAUAAGGAAGAGGAAAGAGGCAUUGGAGCCUACAAAAGGCCAGGCGUGAAAUAGGGGAGGCAACUUCGGGUGGGAGAUCCACAUCUCUUUGCUGGAGAAGCUUGGGUUCCCGGACCAAGUUCCCACAAAAAUAAGAGGGAGAGAUAGUAGUUUGGGUAUUUUGGGAAUGAUUUCCCAAAGAAAAAAUAAUGAAGUUCAAGAGGGAGAGGAAGCCGACGGGAGAAAAGAAGGAGAACCCAGUCAUGAUGAAAGCCUUCUACAUCGCUGCUGCUGUCGCCCACGACUCAAUAGAAGGCUGAUCUCUUCUCUAGGGCCAGAUGCAGCCCUAACAAAGGGCUAAGGGUUUUGUAUUUUUGAUUUUUAUUCUUGGAGUUAUAUAAACUUUAUUUUGCUUUUAAUGAAUAUUUUAUUUCAUCUCA
rnacentral:lncRNA from 1 species